rnacentral:misc_RNA from 1 species
CGCCUGCUGAUUAUCAAAGAAGAUAGUCAAGCUACAAUCAACCAAUGAAAUUUUCACUUAUCAUAACUGGGAUUUUCAGUUGCCAUUCCUGUGCUCAAACCUGUAUUUGUUCGACAAGAUCGCUUCCUGGGUUUCUUCAGUGAGGAAACAGCAAGAGGACCAAGGCUGAGUUGUUGUGCCAUGUCUAUAACAUCCCUCUCUAUUACAACUGUUUUCAUGCUUGUAGUCUUCUUGCAGGAUCUACUGGGACGACGUGAAGCUAAGUUUUUGGACAUAGGACUAUCACUGACUGUAUGCCCUUCAUACCUAGCCUUUGUGCUUGGAAGAUCAACAGGUGGACAUGAAUCUAAAGUUAACCAAGAGCUACCAGUAGCAUCUUUCUCAAGGCUUGUCAGACCCAACUUGAAGAAAGAACUGCCUUUCCCAGGGACAGAAGUAUUACCCUGAGGAUGAACAGGACUCCUCCAUUCACAUUGUUUAUCACCACAAUC